rnacentral:tRNA from 1 species
GGAGAAAUGGCUGAGUGGUUAAAGCGUUGAUUUGCUACGUCAAUUAACAUUUGUUAUCGUGGGUUCAAAUCCCACUUUCUCCG